rnacentral:lncRNA from 1 species
UUUAGCACGGGCAAUUGCCUUUGUUAUAAAAAUUAAUUUAUUAAAUACAUAACCUUCGUUUUGUUUACGGAUAAAAGUAUAUUUGUGAUCUCAAUUUUACUUUUUUAAUCUGAUAAAAGACUCUUAUUAAAGUUCAUAAAUCUUGUCCUAACACACUUCCCCAAACUUAUUCAAUAGUUGUAAUUUUUUCAUGGUAAUAUCUAUUAUCACAAAAGUGUGAAAGAAAAAAAAAAAAAAAUGUUAUCCGAAUGGAGUGGCGAACCAAUUGGAUACACAUCAGACAGAAGUAUCGAUGGUAAAGCCUCUUUCCGCGGCGAAGUCCACAAAGCUGUAAAGCGGAACGACGCUGUCGCCAUACUUGUCGAAUCCACUCAACUCUCUCUUCGCCUUGGCUCGAAGCUCCUCCGCCACUUCCAUGGCCUUCUCCAUACCGUACACGUCCACAUAGCUCUUCCCUUUCUUUUUCUUCUCUUCGUCUUCCUCACUCUUCGUCUUCGCUUUCAGCACAUCGUCCACCACCUGGUACAACAUCCCGACAGCUCGGCCGUAUCUCCUAAGGCGUAGGAUAUCAUCGUCGGCGGCGCCGCCCAGGAACCCGCCACAAACAGCGGAGCACUCAGCCAUCUCGCCGAACUUCUUGCGCUGGACGAAGUCGACGGAGUUGGGGGCGCCCUCGAGGUCGAGGAACUGGCCGGCGGCCAUGCCGGUGGAGCCGACGGAGCGGGCGAUUUCCGCGAUGACGCGGAUGAGCUGGCCCUCUGGGACGAGGUGGGAAGGGGUGUGGGAGACGAUGUGGCGGAAUCCGAGGGGGAAGAGGGCGUCGCCGGCGAGAAUGGCCAUGUCGACGCCGUAGACGGUGUGGUUCGAGGGCUGGCCCCGCCGGGAGGGGUCAUCGUCCAUGCAGGGAAGGUCGUCGUGAAUCAGUGAAGCCGCGUGAACCUGUUAACAAAAAUAUCCAAACUUUAAUACAGAAUCUAUAGUGCAGAAGGGAAAGAAAAUGACAAAUAGAACGGAAGAAAAUAAAAUUAUGGCUUUUUCCUAUGCUAAUCCCUUGAAUUAUUUCACAAGAAGUAGUUUCAUGGGUCGAUUUGCCAUUGCCUUUGACUGAGAAUGAAAUGCAUUUUGAAUUCACAAACCAUUCUUCUUUCAUGAGUAACUUGUUUCUAAAAUUAGCCAUUAAUUCAAACUACCUAUAAGUUUCUCAGACACCAAACAUUCCUUUAAGCUGACUUCACAGACAACCAAGUUUGGUGGGGGGAUCCUCUGUAGACAAAACAAUUUGAUUUAUGACCUUUUUCUUUCAUGAGUAAUUUGUUUCUGAAAUUAUUCAAACUACCUGUAAGUUUCUCAGACGCCCAAACAUUCCCUUAAGCUGACUUCACAAACAACCAAACUUGGCGCCGAAUCACAUCCCUAAUAAUCAUUUUAGUAACCAAUUCCAUGUUUCUUAAAAUAUAGUUUGUGACAUUUUUGUUAAAUUAACGUAUCAUACUCUAUAAGCUCUCAGCUUCCUCAACCGUAUACAUAGAAAAUUUCAAAUUUCUACCAAAAAUUCACUUAAUCGUUGUCUCUUAAGCUAUAGAUUCUACCGUUUUUCUUAAAUUAACAUAUCAUCCUCUCUGAACUUUCAGCUUCCUCAACCAUAACAAAAGAAAAUUUCAAAUUUCUACCAAAACUUCACUUAAUUCCAACUUUCUGAAACUACAGGUUGUAACAUUUUUCUUAAAUUAACAAGCCAUCCUACAUGAACUUUCUGCUUCCACAAUAUUAUCACAGAAAAAGAAAAGUAGAAAGCUGAUUCGCAGGCAAAAACGUGAAACACAAGAGUCAAAAUCAAAACGAGAAAAGCGUGACAACUGACAUGAGCGAGUGAGAUUAGGGUUUGUUUUGGCCGUACCAUUUCUAGGGCACAGGCGGUCGGAAAGGCAGCAAGGCGGUCGCCGCCGAAAAGCUCACAGACGGCGACGCACAUCACCGGGGGAGCUCGCUUCCCGCCUUUUGCUAGCACGGAGUAGCGCAUGGCUUCGUAGAUCUGUUGCGGAUACUUCACCGGAAUGGCUUCCUCGAGCUUGGUGUUGAUCUCUGAAAUCAGGGUGGUCCAGUAGGAACGGAGAUCGAACUGCAUUGAUUUUGACGGUGAGACUGAAAUUGAAGGAGAAGUGCAUCGAAUUGUGCGUGGUAGGUUCAGAGAAGAUCGGUUCGGAAGGCGGUGGUGGAGGCGGGCAGCGGAGGGCAGCGAUAGAGCGGUUGUGAACGCCAUGGCAGACCGCCCCUCUCUCUCUCUCUCUCUCUCUAUCUAUUCUCUGACCAACUGAGUGGGACUGCGAGGACGCUUUGCUCGGCCUGUUUUUGUCUAUGAAUGGGAUCCACGUGGCACAAUUUUCCAGCAUUCUGGCCCUUUUCACCAGUGGACUUGAAGAAAAUUACGGCAUGGUUUCAAAAUGGAAAUAGCAUAAAUUAAAUUUAAAUUAAGAUAAAAUUGAAGAAAUUUAAUUGGAAUUUUACAACUUGUGUGAGGGAUGGAUGAAUAUCGGAAAAAAAAAAAAUCAAUUUUGCUAACAAUACCUUUUCACGCAAUUCUUUUGCAACUUGGAUAGAUUGAUCGAGUUGAUGAGUAAUCUAAACCCAAUUUGAAUUAAGAAAUAAUCACCCCGAAAUACUCUAGUCAAGCUCAAUCUAACUUUAUAUUUCUAAACUCAAGUUGAGUUCGGAUUACUUAAAUUAAACUUUAGUUAUUGAGCGAGUUUGUUAGGUUGUAUAAUUCAAAAUCUAUUUAUAAUAUUAUUUUAAUGUAUUUAUAUAUGAAAAAUUAAAUAACAAAUAUAACACAAUUUCAAGAAAAUGAGAGAAGAAAAAACAUAAAUUUAUAUAUUUUCUAAAAAAAAUAAAAAACAUAUGAUAUAAUUUUAUUUUUUUCUUACAAAUAGAAAAUAAAAUAAAUAUGAUUAUAUAUGAUAAAAUGUAUUAUAAAUAUUAUGAAAAUAUUAAAUAAGUUUGAGUAGGUGCAAGUUAGCUAACCUUAGCCCAAGUCCCAUCCAAAUUGAACUUGGAUUGAAAAAAUCUAACUCAAAUUAUUUAUAUUAUUUAAAAUCAGUUUUCUUUCUAAAUAAAUGGGUAGAUUUUUAAUGUGCAUUAUUUAUAUAGAUUUAUCAUUAUUUUAUUUUGAUGAUUAGUAGUAAAUCAGAUCUUGACAUAAAUUCAAAAUUAAAUUACUCAUAAAAACAAUAAAGAAUUGUAAAGAAAAACUUAUAAAAUAAUUUUGACAACAAUUUUUAAAAAAUAAUUCUUAAUUAUUGUCAGGCAACUUAAAUAUCGAUAAAGGUAUUUUAUACUCACUUGGUGUUUUUUUAAUUAAAUAGAAUUUAAUUUAAUUUAAUUUUAAAUAAAAUUUAAUAGUAUUGAGUAUUAAAUUGUUUGUUAUUUUAUUAUUAAUUUCUAUUAAGUAUUAAUGGGACAAAAGUUGUGUUGAAAUUGUUUUAAAAUUCUAAUUUUUGCAUUAAGAAAAAAUUCAAAAAUUUUGUUUUUUUUUUCUAUUAAGCACAAAAAAUUUUAAACAUAAAAAUUAAAAACAAACGAUUUAAAGUCUAAAUGUAAAUUGUAUUUGAUAUUAAGUUAAAAAAACAAACAACAUCUUAGUAAAUUUUUUUAAGGUAUUUUCAAUUAUUUAUUAGAACACUUUAAAAAAACAAAUGAAAUUACCUUAAAUUUACUUUUAAAAAAUUACAUAUUUUGAUAAUAAAUUCUUAAAAAUAUGUUUUAUAUGAAAAGUUUCGAUAUAUCUAACUAUCUAAGUUGGGGUGAUUUAAUAGAAUUUAAUAUUUAUUAUAUAAUGAUUUAAAUUGACUUUAAGUUAAAUUAUUUUUAGGUUCUUGACCUAAAAUUUAUUACUUAAUUUUUAUUUUAAGUAUUAAGGUUUUUUUUUUUUAAUAAAAUUAAUUUAAAAUUUAUUCGUAAUCAUAAAAUUGAUAUAUUUAUACUUAUAAAUUAUAAUCAAGACAAAGGAGAUUGAGUAAUAAAGGUUCUAAAGUAACAAAAGAAAUCAUGAAGGUAAUUAGGGAAAAUUGAGAUAAAAAUAUAAAAUAAAAAUCUGGACUUAAGAAUAAGUUAAUUGUUUUUAUUUAUUACUUAAAUUUAUUUUUAAUUUUGAGUUAUACUGUUAAUUAUUUUACUAAACAUAUUUAACUUAUUUAAUAACUUAAAUUAAGUUAUUAAGUCAUUUUAAGUUAUUAAGUUGGUGUACCAAAUAUUAAACUAGUAUCUGUUUUUAGCUUUUUGUUUAUAAUUUUAAAACACAAAAAAUAAUAAUAAUUUUUAUACAAAGUACAAAAUUUUUUUAAAAACUCAUCUCGAAAACAUAAUGAUUUUUUAAAAUUGAUUAAAAAAUAUUGAGAUAUUAAAAAAUGUUUAUUACCUCACAUUAAAAAAAUUUUGAAAGUAAUUUUUAAGGACUUAAAGAAAAGUACAAACCGUACACUUAUACAAAAAAUUUCAUUUUUAAAUAUCAAAAAUUGAAAAUACCUUCAAAUUAAGUCUUUAAAAACAAUAUUUUUAUUUAAAAAAUAAAUAAAACAAUUGUUUUCAAAAUCAAUUUCCAAACAUAAACUUAGGGGCUGGAGGCAGAAAGCUAGCAAAAUUAGCAUGAGUAGAAUUUUCACAAUAAAUUUAUAUUGAAAGUAAAAAAAACACUAGAGAUUAAAUUUAACAUUUUAAAACCAUUUUUAAACCCUAAAAAAGCUUAUAAAUGUCUAAGAAUUUUCCCAAUAAAUUUAUAGANNNNNNNNNNNNNNNNNNNNNNNNNNNNNNNNNNNNNNNNNNNNNNNNNNNNNNNNNNNNNNNNNNNNNNNNNNNNNNNNNNNNNNNNNNNNNNNNNNNNAGAAACUUUUUAAGUAAAUCUAGCAGCUGAAGACCUGGAAACCCAGACCAGCUAAUCCUGUUGGGGGUAUCGAUAAAUUUAAAGCUUGAUCAAGGAAAACAAUGCGGCAGAGAGAACAAAUUGAAAAUUUGAAUCCACAAAUAUACAAUUCUGAGUUUAUACAAGAUUUGUAACCGCAUAAGCAUGCAAAGAUCCAUGGAGGAUCAAUUGAUAAAUUUUCCAAUCAAACCUGAUGGCUCAGCAAAUCUGGAGCAGCACUGUCAGAAGGGCUUUCUGAUGGAGGUUCAAGUCAGAAAACCAAGCCGAGACUGUCUGAAGUAAAGUCUAUAAUUUAAGAGUCAAAUUUUCUACAUAAAACUAGCGAAGGAGAAGUAACAAGUAACAAAUAAAUACAUAAAAAAGUACAACAAUCUUGUCUUGGAAAUCACUCGACAAUUUCUCCAUUGUUUUCAACUUCUUCCAUCUCUUCAUCGUCACUCUCAUCCCCUCCUUCGAGCAGCCACUGUUCAAGUUCAUCCAUUUCUUCAUUAUCAUGCAUGUACAAACCAUCCCAGUGGUCAGUCCCUAGCUCCUCACCAUGGCAUGCCACAUGCAAGAAGGGUCUACUUCUAGCUAAAGCGUCUACCAUGUCUCUGUUCACGCUUCCUGUCACUCCCAACCAUCUCAGUCUGGGAAAGUAAGGGUUCUUUAACCACCGGAAAGAAAGAGAUGUAAUGCCACCACAGUUAUAAAGAUCCAACACCCGCAAACUACUGCCAUGUGAUCUAUGAUCGUCAACCUGCAUUGAGGCUAAUGCCAUGAUUGAACUGUCACCUAUGAGUGGACAUUGUCGCAUCCUGAGUUCAAGAAUUGGAACACGACUUUUAGCCAGCGAGAAUAUUCCAUUAUCAGAUAGGUUAGGAAGAUUAGAUAGGUCCAAUUCUUGCAACUCCUGUUUGGAAGAGGGAUCAAAUAGAGCAGAGAUGCAUUUAUCCGUAAGCCUUUUGCACCCUCUAAUGGACAAUGAAACUAGUGAGCCUAUCACUCCCUCUCUCAAGUAUGACAAACCCGCAUCUGUAAUAUCAGACCCAUCCAAUAGUAAAAUCUUCAAUUUAUGAAGAGUGCUGAUGGCUUGGAGGGCUUCAUCCCCAAGGUUCCUGCAGUCUCUCAAGUCAAGAACCCUAAGAUCCAAGUUGGAUGCCAAACUUAUGACUGCCUGGUUUCUCAAAAGAUUACACCAUCUCAAGCUGACAUGUGUCAAAGAAAGGGAAGUUGCUGAAAUAUCAAGAAAAACCAGAUUAGUCAAUAGCAUUCCAUGAGACACCCUAAGCUUGUAUAAGGUCGAGCACGAGUGCAGGAUUGUUUUGAAACCAGAAUCUGUUACACGACAAAAGCCACCAAGACAUAUACUUUCCAUACUAGAGCAUCUGUCGGCCAUUAGGAGGAUUCCUAGAUCGUUAACUCGUUUGAAGUAUGUAAUUAGGAACUCCUGGCUACGAACCAAGGAGAGGUGUUUCAACUUCCCACGUUGAUUAAUCUGUUGAAAACCGGAGUUCGUGAGGUCAAAUGUGACUCUUGGUUCAAUGAUGGGUGCAUCUCGAAGAUCCAGAUGAGUUAAGUUGAUGAGACAUUUAGAUACUGUCUCAACCAUAGUGUCAGUAAUAUAAUCCACUGAGAGGCACAAUCUCUGAAGACUCGGCAAUAUGGAUGGCCGGAGAUGAUUUGGGGGCUGAUGGGGUCCCACAUUAGGGCUGAGCAGUUCAGUCACCAUCACUGAAGAAACAUAGCCAAUCUCAAGACUUGUGAGAUUCUCUGAAGCCAAAGACCAGGCUCGAGCAAAAUUAUAANNNNNNNNNNNNNNNNNNNNNNNNNNNNNNNNNNNNNNNNNNNNNNNNNNNNNNNNNNNNNNNNNNNNNNNNNNNNNNNNNNNNNNNNNNNNNNNNNNNNGAAGAAACAUAGGCAAUCUCAAGACUUGUGAGAUUCUUUGAAGCCAAAGACCAGGCUCGAGCAAAAUUAUAACGAGGAAAUAGUGAAAUAUCGAACAUCAGGCUUAGCGUCUACAAAAAUGAAAUUGGAAAAAUGAACAACUAGUAGAUGGAAAAAACGCUACAGAAAUGAAUCAAAUGAUAUAUAUAUAUAUAAAGUACAAAAUUUGAAACAUCUAUGAAUCAUCUAUAAUUAAGAAUGAAAAUCAUGUCAAUUCAAAGGAGAAAUAAUCAAUCAACUUAACCAUUUAAAGUGUGAAUAGGGUGCAAAUUGAACAGGCUUUCCUAAGCUCCAGCUGGAAACAGACUGAGCUGUACCUAGUUCGCACUGGGCUGAGAAGCAGGCCUUACUGAGCCCCAGUUCAGGAACAGCCUGUCCCUACAGGUCUUGUAUUGAUAUUACAUUGCAGGCAAACUUUGGUUCUCAAUGUCAAGAUCUAAGGUCCAACCUUUUUCCCCACUGAUAAAUAAAUAAGAAAAUAUUAUAAAAGGAAGUUAUACACCAAGGUACACAGGAUGUAAACUAUGGGUACCAGAAGAUGUUGCCUUAAAGAGAGAGAACACAAAAAAGAACUACUCCUUCCCUCAGCUAGGUCCAACUGCUAAGUAGUGUGUGUCUUCCAUUAAACUGUUUGUGUCCCAUUUUGUGCACAACAUGUGCACCAAGGAUGAGUGUUGGAUGAGCACAAAUGACAAAAUAAGCCCAGCUGCAAAUUGAACUAUGAACAUGCCUGAUGGAUUGGUGGCCUAUGGGUCAAUUUAUGCAGAGGCAGAUGUUAUUCUUUGUCCACAUGGCCAUUGCAGCAUUGUGCUCCAAAUUACCUCCCAUGCCAAGGCAUGAUAGCACUUUUAUGGAUGCCCACUCUUCUAGUAGAUGUUUAAGCUCCUUGAAUGCCGCCCUUGGCCAACACAGAGGGCACCAACAGACCAAAGGCUAACUUGGAUGCAUCUCCAUGUUGCUUAAAAGGCUCAUCUCUCCCAACUCUCAGCUUGGUCCCCUUGGGGUUAAAGUAUUUGCCCUUCCAACUGUGCACUUGGCACAAAGGGUUCCGAGUGGGUUCCUUCUUCUCUUGAUGACCUCCCUCGAGUUAAAAAUCAAGAAUUUCUACAUGUUCAAAGAGAUAGUCAACCCCCUAUAUUUAUUACUGGCACUAAAGGGUUAGAUAAGGUGCCUCUUGGCAUAAUGUCUUGAUGCUUUGUGCUCGCCCAAGUUAAGGAGACACACUCGAGGAGCCCAACACAUGCAUAGGAGGUGUAGUGAGGUAGGUAGAGAUUGACCGCAUGCCACAACCAUUUUAGUUAAAUUGAAAGGAUGGGACAAUUCAUCAUUGUCCUCAGAAACAUCAUCUGCAUGCGAUGACAUGCUGAUGGAGCGGUUCAUCAAGACCCUAGUUGAAUCCAUUACAAGCUUACUCUCCUAAACUCACUAGACCUAUCUACACUUGUGCCUCUUGUAGGGGUCAUCAUUGAUUUUGAGCCUGUAAGAUUCCUUUCAUAGAGUGGCUUAGUGAGAGCAAAACCCAUCUUUGGUUCUAGGUCUACCCAGCUAGCUAGGCACCCCUCCAUAAGCUUAGCCUAGGGCAAAGCUUAAUUUUUUCAUUGAUUGGGCUUGUGAUCCAUCCAGUUGGCACUGUCUAAGUCCUCAUAUAAUGACCCAAUGGGUGAAUAUGGCAAGGGGUUAAAACAUUUUCAAGUCUCAAGCCCAAGUUAAGAUACACUCUUAAGUCUGCUUCCACCUUCUCUAACCCCCUCCCACCUUGUCACCUAUUUUGUUUACUCCUCAAGCUUGAACAUCUUACCAUCCACAUGACUAAAUCUCUCCAACAAGAACUACAACAAACAUGUACAAAAUAAAUAAUUUAGUCAAGAUAAUCUGUUAUGCCCAAUCUCCAAUAUUUUCAUUCAUAAAAAACUUGAUAAUUGCUAACUUCAUAAAAAGGCCUUGGGCUCAAAUCAAGCUCAAGCUUAAGAAUGAUAAUUCAUGUUGGUAGAUUGUGUUCUUGUUGUGUCAAAACUUAGACACUCGACUAAAUAGGUCAAUCCAAACACGACAUGAAUAAUAAACAAGUUAAGAACACAAACCCAAACAUAACUUAAUUAUCAAACAGGUAAACCCACUUAAUAGGUCCUAUUUAAUAAUUAGAUCGAGUUAGAUCUUGUUUAAAUCAAUAUGAUUAAUCUCCCAACCUAACAUAUUUAUGACUCAAUUAACUUAUUUAUUCUUAAUCAAAUUUUAAAUAAGCCAAAUUUGAGUUAAGUAGGCUAUAGUUAUAAUCAACUCAAUAAACACGAUUAUUGAACAUGUCAAUUUAGGUUAAAUUUGUGUUAUGCAAGUUGAAAAAAAAAAAAAAACCUAUUUAUCAAACAGGCAAUGUAGGUUGACAUGAAUUUGACCCAAACAAGAUUAUACUUAACCUAAAUUUGCAAAAAAAGUGUCAGAUUUGAGUCGUAUUGAUGAAUAGUAACAAACUUUGCACCUUGCUUGAGCUAAGCAAGAACUAAAGAAGGCCUUCAGUAUACCUCUCCCCAAACAAUAUAUACAUGCCAAUAGUUUUCAUAUCAAAGGAGUUGAGUUUUUGAUGGAGGUUGUGUUAAUGCCAAGUUAUAAACAAAUUAAAAAGGUUAGAAAUGUGUCUUUAAUAUAUAAAAUUACUGCAGCAUGAUUUAGGAGAACCGAGAGUUAGUUUUCAUAAUUAUUGUGUUUUACAAACUAUGUCUUGCACUUAUCUUAUGCCAAUAUUCACACACUUUUUCUAGUCGCACAUUAUCAUCUUAGUUCAAUUCAUGUCUGUUGUCUUGUGGAUUUUUUCAAGAAAGGAAAAUUUUAUCAGAAAAAGGUAAAAUGUUUAGUUUCUUGCAUAUCACAUAGUUUGCAUGUGUUAUUGCGCUUCCUUUUUUUUUUUUUUUUUGAUAAGUAAUUUGUGCUUCCUUAUGGCACCAUUCGAUAAAAUUGGGAUGUUAAAUAUCUAACACUAUCUUGAAGUUGCAGAUGACAAAAAUAAAUGAAACAUCCCAUCACCAUCAAAACUUUCUUCCAUCAAAUAUCCAUUCAAACUGCUAAGAAAAUAAUUCAGGAUGGGAGAGAAUUAUCUUAACAAAAGAACGAAGAUUGUCCCUGUUUUUCAUUUUUUGUAAAGGUAAUAGAAUCAUACUAUUGUUAGAUACCCAAAGAAAGGGUAUCAUUAGGUUUAAGGAAAACUUGUUCGAAGGACUGGAAUACUAAUUAUACUAAAUUCUACAUAUAUUAGUGUUGCCAAUACUUUAAAAUAAAAUUAAGAACUAAACAACAAAAGACAACACUAUUUCAUGACAGGCAAAGCAAGGCUCACUAAUCAUGCUAGUGCCAUCAUCACUGAUAAAUUAAUAUGUUAAUCACCAUCUCUAGGCCUCACUGGGGCAGAAUGAUACCUAAGCAACCAAUCGAGCGAAUUGAUAGCAUUAACAAAAGUUAACAACUUCAUCCUGAAACAUAAUAAACAUUCGAUUGAGCACAUACUCAAACUAACUUGCAUAUCCAUAGCAUGCAACCACAACAGGUGUUACAGUUGUGCCAAAGUGUUCUUGUCUAUCCAAAUGCGUGGGUGUGUCCAAAACCAAGUAACAACAUAAAAAGUAAAAAAUAAAAAAAUAGAAAAAAUAAAAAUGAUUAGAUAGCAAUUAAGCAGCACUAACAAUUAAUUUGAAGAAUUAGCAUUGGCACAAUAUGGUCAAUGUAAAAGAGGAAAGCAACUUGAAUAUGUUGUAAUCUCUCCAAAAUAUUAAGUAUAAGGCUUGAUUUAUGGUGAUGCAACAAUGAGGACAAAAUGCAGUAGUCAUCAAUUUACUACUAAAUAUUAAGUAAAAAAUUUUACUUAUGUAAAUAUCAUUCCUUUAUCAUAAUUCUCAUUCAAGCAUUAUUACAUGCCAUUCUAUCUUUGAAGUAAAAAAUUUUACUUAUGGUGAUGCAACAAUGAGGACAAAAUGCAGUAGUCAUCAAACUCAUUUCUUUAAGUAAGAAAUUUUACGUAUGUGAAUAUCAUUCCUUUAUCAUAAUUUUCAUUCAAGCAUUAUUAGAUGUCAUUCCAUCUUUUAAGUAAAUAACCACCAAUCAAGGAGAGGUUUCUUAUCAUGACCUUUAACAUAGAGUGAAUAAUGGUUGAGAAAUAGUUCAUAAUGAAAUAUACUUGGAGAAAAGUAACAAGAUAUACCUCACAAAAGGUAAUGUCAAGCCUCCCAACACUCUUGGGGCUUACUUGACAACAUUUGUUUUAAGAAAUGCUCGAUUCAAAUACGGGGAGUUCAUUGUAAUCAACAUAUCCUAGCACUCUUAAGAAUUCCCAAAUGAAUGAACUAUAAAAGAUGGCCCCAAAAUUGAUUGACUUAAAUCCCUCAGAGAACAUUGCCUAACAUGAUCAUGUUUAUUUAUUCUUUGAUGCUAGGGUACCAAUCUUGAAAUUGAACCUUACUUUUAACUCAGUGCAACCACAGAGUAACUCCUCAAGGUUAGAAAUAUGGACUGCUCGUCCUCUUUUCUCAGCCACACAACCCAAGUAGAGAGACCUGGAGAGAAGUAAGUGGACAAUGCUAAUAACUUGUUGCUUGAAAUAGGUAAGAACUAAAGAUUAAACUAUUGCUAAUUUAGACCAAACUACUGCUAGUUUAAAACUAAUAAACAGAUUUAUACUGAUGAAAACAUCAAUCCACACUAGAUUCUUAAGCACCAAAACAAGAGAAGAAAAGGCAAACCUUAAAUCCUUGCAUUGACCUCCAAUCAGAGAUAGCAGCCUCCCACUAAAAUCAGCACAAUUGAGGAGAGAAAUCUCAUGCAAAGAUGGGCGAACCAGAUGUUCAAUUGAUGAAUCAUCAAGUUUACUGCAAUCAACUUUCAAACUCCUAAGAUAAGGAUUUGGUGGCAGCAAAGGCCUCAGCAAGUUGAUUGAGAGUGCAACAUCCUGAAUUGAAAAUACCCAAAAAAUUUAUAAAAAAAAUGAACACAUCAAAUCUAAGAACAGUUAGCUGCCAAGAAACUCAACUGAAUGGGGGAAAAAAAAGAAAGAAUAUAAAUUUUAGAAUUUCGAAUUUGAGAAUAUUAAAAUCUUCAACAUUUGAAGAACCGCUAAAAAAUUAAAACAAAAACAUCAAACUCAUGCUCACUUUGGUUGAGGCGAAACUGAAGGCAAACAAAAACAAUCAAAAUUAACGAUCACGAAAAUCGGGAUAUUAAAAUUCGAUUCCGAUAUGGAAUCCGAACUCAAUAGAAUUCGAAAUUCAUGCUACCGCGCUAGCGAUUUUAUACAUUUCGGAUCUACAAAUCUAAACAAGGAUCCUAUUCCAAACCCUCCUUUCGAGGCAGACGAUAAAACAAAGAAAAAUCAAGCUAAAAUUAAACAACCAGUGGCUUCUCUAAGUUGAAUUUUCAAUUUUUUUUUAUCGACAAAAACAACAAGGACAAAUUAAUAAACAGAAUAAAACUCAAACUUCUGCUUUCGUUUCGUGUUUUUAGCUUCUAUUUUUUUUUCCCCUCGAAAUCCAAACAAAGAACCAGGGUUUGAAAGAGAUUUGACUCACGAGGAGAUGGAAAUUGGGGAGGAAGUGGAAGAUUUGAGAAGCGCAUGAGCGGAUGGUAGUGCACGUGGACGCUAGGGAGCGAAUCGAGGAGACGUCGAGCUUCGUCAUGAUCGUUGCCAGCAGUGCCGCCGGCAACUGCUCCAGAGCCCCUCCGGCGGCUUCGCUAUUCGCCAUUCUCUCUCUCCCGAUCUCUCGAUCUCAAUCCCGAUCGAUGUUUCAGGCGGAUGUGUUCCGCUGUGGAAGGGGCCAGGGUCAGUUUUGUAGGUCCCCGUGAAACCGUGACACGCCAGCAUAAAGGGUAAUUGGACUUAGGGCGCGUUUGCCAAAGCCAAAUUAAGGGGGAAAUGGAUUUUAGCACGGGCAAUUGCCUUUGUUAUAAAAAUUAAUUUAUUAAAUACAUAACCUUCGUUUUGUUUACGGAUAAAAGUAUAUUUGUGAUCUCAAUUUUACUUUUUUAAUCUGAUAAAAGACUCUUAUUAAAGUUCAUAAAUCUUGUCCUAACACACUUCCCCAAACUUAUUCAAUAGUUGUAAUUUUUUCAUGGUAAUAUCUAUUAUCACAAAAGUGUGAAAGAAAAAAAAAAAAAAAUCUUAUCCGAAUGGAGUGGCGAACCAAUUGGAUACACAUCAGACAGAAGUAUCGAUGGUAAAGCCUCUUUCCGCGGCGAAGUCCACAAAGCUGUAAAGCGGAACGACGCUGUCGCCAUACUUGUCGAAUCCACUCAACUCUCUCUUCGCCUUGGCUCGAAGCUCCUCCGCCACUUCCAUGGCCUUCUCCAUACCGUACACGUCCACAUAGCUCUUCCCUUUCUUUUUCUUCUCUUCGUCUUCCUCACUCUUCGUCUUCGCUUUCAGCAUAUCGUCCACCACCUGGUACAACAUCCCGACAGCUCGGCCGUAU